GCGUUUUAUUUCUGUACAAAAUUAAUACACCUCAUUUACUCCUGAUUUUUCUUUUGCAGCAGUCAUCAUUAUUCUUCACCCAAUGGUCUUGUAUUGCAGAGCAGAGCAGUGAUGUUAGCUAAGUCUUUAGUGUUUCACUGAUGGUUGCCAAUAUGCAUCUCCUGAGUUCUUCCUGUUUUUGUUUUCCUUUUCGAGCCUCAGUGGAUUCACAGAGACACUGCAGCACUGUGUUGGCUACUUCACCUCUGAAUGAUGACCACUGAAGAACAUGAGAGAUGAAGUACAAUGGAGAAGUCCAGAUAAAUGGACUGGAAUUCCUGCUACCAUUAUAUAUUUUUUUCUUUUUUAUGGAUUUUGGUACACCCU